AGGAGUGUAGCUCAGUGGUAGAGCACUUGCCUAGCAUGCAUGAGGACCUGGGUUCAAACCUAAUACCACAA
rnacentral:tRNA from 1 species